UUAAUUAGGUCUUUCCACUUUUCUGUGGAAAGACCUAUUGGUUUUCUUCUGAUUAUUAGGUCUUUCCACUUUCCUGUGAAAAGACCUAUUGGUUUUCUUAUGAUUAUUAUUUUUUUUUUCUUCUUCCGCCACUUUUUUCUGACGGUGCUUUUUUGUUUCGCAAGAUGUUGCUUAGAUUUUUUGUGUAUGAUAUCGAACAGUUAUUGCGAUUUUGAAACUGACCCUGUUUAGCCGAAUACUUUUUAUUGUAAGAGUUAUCUCCCCAAACACUGUUUUUCUUGUGUACGCAUCUCCUUCGCAACCGUAAAAGAUUAUGACAAAUUUAUGUCUCCAAUUUGUUCGUUAUAUCCUCAGGAUCUUAAGAAUAAUUUUGACUGAAGCGGUCCAGAAACUCCAUAUGAGAGUUAUUUCCCCUUCUGUAUUGAAAAUAAGUAAAAUGUUAUUGUAAUUGGUAAACCAUAAGUGAUAGGGACCUAGGGUCUUUUGAUUUGAGGUCCUUGGUCCAAAAAAAAGAAAAUAGGCUCAAGGUCAAAGGUCAAGGUCAUUUUUAAAUUUGGAUUUUGGCUUAUUUUCACCUCUUUUCAAACACGAUAUAAGAUAUCGACAACAUAUUUUUACUUAAUUGUUAGUUGCGACAUGUCGUAACACAUACAUAUCGGUUUAAA